GUGGCUGGUGGAGACCCAGGUGAAGGCCAGGAGGCGGAAGAGAGGAGCACAGAAGGGCAGUGGAUCCCCAACUCACAGCCUGAGCCAGAAGAGCACCCGGCUGUCUGGAGCCGCCCCUGCCCACUCAGCCGCAGACCCCUGGGAGAAGGAGCAUCACCGCCUCUCUGUCCGGAUGGGCUCACAUGCCCACCCAUUACGGCGAUCAAGGCGGGAGGCUGCCUUCCGGAGCCCCUACUCCUCAACAGAGCCCCUCUGCUCUCCCAGCGAGUCUGACAGUGACCUAGAGCCUGUGGGGGCGGGAAUUCAGCAUCUCCAGAAGCUGUCCCAAGAGCUAGAUGAAGCCAUUAUGGCGGAAGAGAGUGGUGACAUCGUCUCUCUCAUUCAUGACUGAGGAAGUGCCUGCAGGUAAUGCCCACCUCCCAAGAGUCUUUCUCACUGUCCUUCUCCUCCAUCUCAUGCAUGAGCAAGUUAAAGAAAAAGCCCACAGAGCUGAUGGGCACAGCAGAGUAGGUAGUACCUACUUGCCGCUUGAAGCCAGAGCUGCUAACCUCACUGACCCCGUCAUUAACAGCACGCUGGGGGCCCCAAGUAGCUACAGCCACCUUCCAGCACCCCCCACCCCGCAGUGAGCAGGGAAAGGCAUCCCUACUUCUCCUACCUUGAGCACAGUGAAAAAGGCAGCUCUGUCUUGAAGGAAACAAGCCCUGUCUGACCGCCAAGGCUUCAUACUCAAGGAUGUCUAUGCUUCCCCGUGAGCUUCCUGGAAAAAACCCCCGGGAGUCGUCAGUACCCCUGGGCCACUGCUAACAAGCACCUAACAAGGGGCCCAGAGCCCCCUGCUCCAGCCACAUCUGGACCCAUCAGUGACUGCCUGCCAUAGCCUGAGAGUGUCUUGGGGAGACCUUGCAGAGGGGGAGAAUUGUUCCUU
rnacentral:lncRNA from 1 species